CCCCUCAGCGCCCCCUGAGGGAACAGAACCGGCGGGGCUGAAAAAAAAAAUAUAAAAGAACCAGAACCAGAGCCAAAAAGUGACAGAACCACAAGGUCACGGAAUAUAGUGAAUUGGAAAGGUCCCGCGAGGAUCAUCAAAGUCUGACUCCUGGCCCUGCACCGGACACCCCAAAAAUUCCACCAUGUCACGGCCGUGAUGUCGAUGCUUCCCACAGUGCUGAGCCCUCGCGGUUUCCGCAGGCAGAGACGACUUUUAACUGGUAAAAGUCCUCAAGGCAGCAAGACAGGGCAGCAAACGAUCCAUGAGACCUGGCAGCCAGCACAGCUCCUGGGAUAGCACUGAAAUACACAUGAUCCAGCAACGGGCACCAUUCCAGUUGUGCAGGGACUCCUCGACUGACCACAGGUAACUUUAGCCAGGAGCUGCUCACUGAGACUCUUUUAUUCCUGGACAGUCAGAGCUGCUGCUUCUUCUUGGGUUACAGAAUCCUUUCUUCCUCAGCCUUGGGGACUGGGAGAGACAUUGGAUCCACCUGCUGAACACGGCUGAUUCCUUCCCACCACGUCAGGUUAUUGCAGAGGCCACAAAUGAACAGGAUGGAUUCCCUGCAGGAUGUGUGUUCCCUGGGGGACAGAGGCAGAACUUCUGAGCCUGUUCCUGGCAGCUCCUGGCUGCCCUUGGCAUCCCUGGAGGAGCAGAAAAAUCUGAGUUCCUGGUCCUCAGCAAGGGUGCAUCUCACAGCCACUCAUCCAGUGUUUUUGGACCUUCCUAAUCAGCCCUCAGACACGACUCUGGCAGCGUUGGGAACUCAGGAAGCACCAUUCCCACUUUACAAGGGUGAAGUGAGGAACAGGAAUCCAAAACUGCUGUUGAGUAACCUGAGCUGGGAUUAACGUCCCGGGCCCUGCCCUGCCCCCGGGGCACCAUGUGCUCCUUUUUGGCCAAGACUCUCUUGCUUGGAUUUAAAUGCCCUUGGGAAGAGGAAAGAGAGAUGGGGAAAGAAGGGAGAGCAGGAAGUUCUGCAGCUUUGCCAAGACCUUGGUAACAUAUCCCAACAACUCAUGAGCUUUUCCUUAUUGAUGCUGUGGGAACUGCUGUGCCUGGGGCAGGGCUACCCAGAUGAACAAAUUAAUGCCAUUAAUGUCAUUUAUCCACCUCUUUUCUGGUGCUUAUCGGGACAUCAUGAGGCCCUUUGGACUUUUUUUGCCUUUUGAUUUAAUUGCCUUUGAGGCACAAGUGCAGCUCUGCGGGACCAUCCCAGCACAGCUCCUGGCCAAGCAGGAUGUCCCUGGUGUCUCCAGGCCUUUGGAGGAGUUAAACAUUAACUCCUGGCCAGCUCCAUCUGUCCAAAGUCCAGGAGGAGCCAUGCUGGGUCAGCCUUGCAGCUGCACUUCCUGCUCCUGCCCUUUCCUGGUGAUUCACUCGCUCCUCCUCCCUGCCAGGUCUGACCUGGAUGGAGCAGCGAGGAGGUGGGACAGGGACACCUGAGCUCUCCUGAAUGUACCUCUGGAGACCAGCUCCUGGUGGCUGGAUGCCCUGGAGGGUUUCAGUGUAGCAAGAAGGGAAAAUUCUGGGUACCAAAAGACCCAUCUGAGCUACAGAAAAAUCCCCCCACACUGUGUAGCCAAGCUGGAGCCGUGGCAGGUCCCUGCUCCUGGCAGGCAGCUGUGAGUCCAUGCGAGCCUGUUGUUGUCCUGCUGUCCCCUGCAUGGAUUGUUUUAUUUGAUCAUGUUAAAUAAAAGGGUAAAACCUUUUCCCUGUGACCAUUUGAAGAGUGUGGCCCAGCAGCAGGGCAGGAGGCAGAUGGGAAGAGCUGGUUUAUUUGAAAUUAUAGCACAGUUUCUAGACUCCAGCCCUGCCAAGGCUUUGGGUGUAGCCAGAGUCUGCCACAGGAGAUGGAUUGCUCAGGGCUGGCUGCCCCUGGAGCUGGAGCUCCGUGGGUUUGCCUGGCAUGCUGGGAUCAGACCCCGUGAUGCCUCUGAGCUGCCCAAGCACCUCUCCCACAGCGGGACUCAGUUUUGUCUGGAAAAGCCAAUCAGUUACUUCAGUACCAAUGGAAGUUUGUGAAAAUACAAUGGCACAAUCUCUGCUGAGCUCAGGCCCAGAAGCAGAGCCAAGAGUCUCCCUGGCUUUGGAUAAAACUUUGCUGUGGUUACCGGCGUCACGGGAUCAUGUGAUGGCAGCUGAUCUCUCCAACCUCCAAAGUUCUCACUCCAGGCCUCUUCUACUGCACAAAAACACCCUGAGUGUUCAAAACAUCUUCUCCCUGCUGGGGUAAUCAUUUAUUGAUACCAGAAUUAUCAGCCAAGUGUUUUGAGUAAACUGCCACUGCUGGUGUUUCUGAUCCUGCCAAGGCCUUUUCCCAGCCCUCUUCCACGCCUGCCAGCCCAGCCACAAACCUUCAGCACCCUCAGUUUAAGGGAUUUCCAAACAGACACAGUUUCUCCCUCCAGCCCAAGGACACACUUUGGCCUGCUUAGCACAACAUUUCACUUCUGUUGAUUCUUCACAUUUGGGUUCUCAGCCCAGGGAAUUUAGGGGCAAUCAGGUCUAAGCUGAACACUGAGCCCCUUUGAGCCAUGCUAAUGGAGAAAUGUGUGUCUAGAAAUUACUUCAAAGGAACUCUAGGGAGAGAAGAGCAGGAACCUGUCAGCUGGGAGCUGCUGCCCUCUCCAAGAUCUCUCUGCUGUAGGAGCACAGCCCUGAAUUUUCUGGGACCUUCUUCCUGCAGGAUAAUGCAGGGUAAGGACAGGCAGAGUCAGCUCUGCCACAGGGCUGGUCCUCUGGAGAGAUGAAAGGGACGUGGUUUGGUGGCCAAAUGAAAGUUGUGGCUUUAAGCAAGAAUUAAAGCCAGAUGUUUCCAGCAGCUGCUGAGCCCAGCCUUUUGUGUCAGAGCCACCAAGGAGGCCCUGGCAGCAUCUGCACAGCUCCAUGGUGGGAACACCCUGUAAUCCUGCAGGCUCUGCCACGGUGCUGGAGGCUCCCUGGCUGUCUGGGAGGAGGCAGCAGGAGCUGAGGCAGAGAUAGUGAAGCCAGCUCAAUAUUUAUUCCAUGUCUAAAAAUAUUUAUUCCUUGCUGAUAGUGGGGAUGGCAGCAGAGGUGUGAUAACCAAAUGUGGCACCUCUGGACAAAACACUGGGGCCAAGAUGUGGUUGAGCCAUGCUGGCAUCAGCUCUUCAGGCACAGGGCAAGAUGUGGGGAACAGGGACAGAAUAUCACCCCUGAGCCAGGGACUGGCUUUGGACCCCUUGGGCAGGCUGAUGCCCAGGUAACCAACAGAUAAAUCAUCAGAGUCAGGGACAAUAAACAAUCCCUGCCUUUCUUCUGGUGUUUGUACUCGCCUGGGACUGAAGCGAGUGCCCAUUCCAGAGUGGGUGUAACACAGUGAAACACCAGGAAAAGGGAAGCUGACUCCUUGUUUCAGCACAGUUUUGGAGGGAGAAGCACUUUGCACUGCCAUGGACAGCCCAGACCUCAGGGCUGCCAGUGGGAGGUCCCAGCUCACACCCAGAAGCCAUAAAUCUCUCCCAGCACUGCUCCUACUGCUCCUUCACGCUCUGCCUCAUGGCUUUAACAUUCACUCCUGGCUUCCUAAGGCCAAAUUCCUGGUGCCCUCUGCUCUACCCUGAGGUGGAGUUUCCUCUUGUGAAACCAGUGGGUGUCCUGCUGGCUCUGAGGGCUGGGAAAGGCUCUGCUCACUGUUCAGGUCUCUGUGUCAUGGUCCUCAUCUUCCUCCUGCCCUGUCCUGAGAGCUGGGAUGCUCCUGCUCUAGAGGAACAGGGGAGAUGCCCUUGAAUCCAGCUGGAUCCCUUCUGCUGGGGAAUAGGGAAUAAAUCCAUAAGGUAUGCCUGAAGCAAGGAAAAGUCAAUAGAGCAGAGGGAGGUUGGUGACAGGAAAUCCCAGUUUUUACUGGCAUCAGCUCACAUCAGAUAAUCUGGCUCUAACAAGAAAGACAUGGCUCCAAUAUUCUGAUUCCAUGGAGCUGGGUGAGGGACUGCUGUAGGAAAGCAGCUUCUUGCCUUGCCCUUUGCUUGUUCUCAGACUGGGAUGUCUCAUUUGUGUGCCCACCAGCUCCCUCAGCUCUGGAACACCCUGGGCAGGAGGAACAAUUGUUUCUGCCAUGAUCCCAAACCCAGCUGUUGGAAGAAGGCUUUGGGAGCUCCUGAAUGGGGCUCAAGGGGAACUGCCCAUGCCCCAGUCACAGCUGGUGACUCACAGGAAAGAACCUGCCCGGGUAUAAAUACAGAACUGGUUGUUUCACCUCCCAACAGGUGACAACAGGACCUGGUCAUGUCCUGGCUCGAGCGGUGUCACUCCUGCAUUUCUCCCUUGGCUGACACAGAAUUGUCACCCAGCAGGAAUUCUUGUCUCACUCUAUGGAGCAGGCCUGGUUUUCUACCCCAGCCAGCGAGGCUGGGAGUGUUCCUGAGCUGGAGGAGUCCUGGUGACACUGAGCCCUUUCCCAGCUGGGUGUUUCCAUGGAAUGGGCAGAAGCAACUGCUGGGAAAUGCUCUAAUCUGAGCAUUAGUGGUAAUUUACAUCCCAGCAAAGCCUGAGUCCAGGAGUCCUCAGCUCCUGUGGGAUAUCAGGUGCUCAGCAGGUCUGGAAAUGGGGCUAAGGGGGAAGGGGAUGAGAAGGAAGAAGUUCCCACUCCCACAAGGGACAUAUGAGGUCUCACUAUGUCACAGAAUUAUGGAAUAUCCUGAACUGCAAAGGUCCCACAAGGAUCAUCAGUCUGGCUCCUGGCCCUGCACAGGACACCUCAACAAUCCCAUCCUGUGCCUGAGAGGGUUGUUCAAAUGCUCCUGGAGCUCUGGCAGCCUUGGGGGGCCCUGACCAUUCCUGGAGAGCAUUUUCUGUGCCUGACACCCCUCAGGGGAAAGAAACUUUCCUGAUAUCCAAUGCAACCCUCCCCUGUCACAGCUCCAGCUGUUCCUUUGGCUCCUGUCCCUGGUCCCAGAGAGCACAGAUCACUGCCUGAUGUGACAAACACUGAUCUGACAGAGGUUUGCUCCCAUGCUGUCCCUGUGGACUGAGGCUGGGCAGCUCUUGGCACUGAGAGGAUUCCAAAAUACAUUCUGCAGUGUAUUUAUUACAACUUAUUUGACUUCUGUUUCUUUUUCUUUCACUCCUCCAUGUCCUGGAGC